rnacentral:rRNA from 1 species
UACGUAGGGUGCGAGCGUUGUCCGGAAUUAUUGGGCGUAAAGAGCUCGUAGGCGGCUGUCGCGUCUGCUGUGAAAUCCCGGGGCUCAACCCCGGGCCUGCAGUGGAUACGGGCUGGCUGGAGGCAGGCAGGGGAGAACGGAAUUCCUGGUGUAGCGGUGGAAGUGCGCAGAUAUCAGGAGGAACACCGGUGGCGAAGGCGGGUCUCUGGGCUGUAACUGACGCUGAGGAGCGAAAGCGUGGGUAGCGAACAGGAUUA